rnacentral:ncRNA from 1 species
GAUUCUCUGGAGAGUCUCUUCAAAGAGCGCCGAAGGUGUACGCGCGGGCAGCCGGGAUCAGAAACCGCGGCCGCGUAAUCUCUCAGGCAAAAGGACAGAGCAGA